rnacentral:rRNA from 1 species
AACGCGAAGAACCUUACCUGGACUUAACAUGCAAGAGACAGUGGCAGAAAUGUCAUCUCCCGCAAGGGCUGUUGCAUAGGUGCUGCAUGGCUGUCGUCAGCUCGUGCCGUGAGGUGUUGGGUUAAGUCCCGCAACGAGCGCAACCCUUAUCAUUAGUUGCCAGCAUUUCGGAUGGGAACUCUAAUGAGACUGCCUGGGUUAACCAGGAGGAAGGUGAGGAUGACGUCAAGUCAGCAUGGCCCUUAUGUCCAGGGCGACACACGUGCCACAAUGGUCGAUACAGAAGGAAGCUAAGCCGCGAGGUGGAGCAAAUCCCAAAAGUCGAUCUCAGUUCGGAUUGCAGUCUGCAACUCGACUGCAUGAAGUUGGAAUUGCUAGUAAUGGCGUGUCAGCUAUAGCGCCGUGAAUACGUUCCCGGGCCUUGUACACACCGAGACGAC